UCGAAUGCAGCUGACAGAUUGUAUCUUGUUGCCUAGCACCAGCCUGGAGUGACUAGGUGUUGCUAGGCAACCCAUCCUCCUGGGCUUGGUGAUGCAGCAAACACUAGACAGAUGCUUUACCUCCGUUGCCCUGCAGCCCUCACGAUGUUCUCAUCUGCAAGAUUCACACCUGAUUAAUGUCUCCUAGGGACUUUUUUUUCCCAUUCAGAUAGGGUGCUGCAGGAUUACCCGUGCUCAGGCAAGCCUGGCUGCUUAACUGAAGAAAACCUCACAGAAAAAAAACCAAAUGGUCCUCUGAAGACUAACCUGCCAUGCUGAGAUGGGAGCCUGGGCUCCAGAGUGGAGGGCAGGAAUCUGAAUCAUUUCUCCCAGAAGUUACCAAAUGGCCAUCGGCGCACCAAAGGCAGGGUUUUCCGUCAGUCCCUGCUCGGGGACCUGUGGUGACAUGUAUAACAUGACAGAGUGUGGUAGAAGAGGCUGUUCACCUCAUGAGAUCGGAAAGGAAAUGGCCGGGACAUGUCCCAGCGACCUACCUUCCUUCUACUGGGCAUCACCUCCUAAAGGCUCCACUACCCUCCAGCUGCCUGUCAGCUUGAGGCUGAGCCUUCAACACACGGCCCUUGGGGAGCAUUGGAAGUCCACGCUACCGCCACCCCAGCUCCCGGCUAUGCUGGAGCUGGGCGGUUCUCUCCUCCUCACCCUCUCUACUCCUUGAAGCUCCCGCCUUCGGUCCCACAGACGAGAUUUCCAAAAUGAGUCAGAAGCAACGUCCUCGGCUGCUUCUUCUUCUUCUAGUCCUGGAAAAUGCCUGAGCAAAGAGAACUGUCAGUUGGUCUGUAACUGCAGAGAACUACAACUGUCAGUCUCAAACUCCUAAAAAACAAAAAACAAAAAACCGUAAUUCCCCCUCCCCCAGGCUCUUCUAUGCUGUCCUGGCCAGCCUGGAACUCCCUAUGAACACAGGGCUAGCCUAUGUAGUGAGUUCCAGGGAAGCCAGAGUUACAUGGUAAGACCCUAAGUCAAGAAGAAGAAGGAAGCCAGGCGGUGGUGGCGCACGCCUUUAAUCCCAGCACUCGGGAGGCAGAGCCAAGCAGAUCUCUCUGAGUUCGAGGCCAGCCUGGGCUACAGAGUGAGUUCCAGGAAAGGCACCAAAGCUACACAGAGAGACCC